UGGUGAAACAUUCAAAAAUUCCGAAUAUGCCCUUUGUUAAACAAAAAAAUAAGAGCACACAAUUUUAAUUAAAAGAGGGUGAAAUAGUAAAACACCCCUGAUUUAAAAAAGAAUAAAAAGAAAAAAGAAAUAGAAAAAGCGAGUCGUGCUAUACAAACCUAAGUCGUGAUGUGCUUCUCUCAAAGAAGAAAAGCUGAAGAACGUGGAGAAAAAUUGCACGGGUUCAGAACCCACGAAGCUGACGGUUUCCACAAUUUUAGAACCCAUCACCACCAUGUUACCUAUAUUUUUCUUCGUCCACUUCAUUGGCACCUUUUCUGCUUCAGAAAUCGAAACCGAAAUUGCGAGUAAUCACCCAAGAGCACCCGGUGUAAAGACUGGCCAGACUCGAAAAACUUCCUUUCUCAUUCCGCACCACACCUGCUAUCCUGUAACUGAAGAUAAAGGAGGUAGGGUUCACACUCAGAAAGAGAGAAGAUUUAAAUUCGUACAGGAGGGAUAGUGUUCAAGUUAUUUAUCAGUACUUGGACGAGAACAAGUCAUUGAUUCUGAAGAUCGUUCAGAGCCAGAAUACUGGGAAAUUGAGUGAAUGCGCAGAUACUUGGACGAGAACAAGUCAUUGAUUCUGAAGAUCGUUGAGAGCCAGAAUACAGGGAAAUUGAGUGAAUGCGUAAAAUGUUGUUUCGCUAGAGCACCAAUGAAGAAAGCAUUUAGAUUUGAUGUGUUUGAUGUCAAUGGUAUGAAUCUCUCUCUCUCUCUCUCUCUCUCUCUCUCUCUCUCUCUCAUUUUGGUUUGGGAUUUUUGAAAUUUUUUUUUGUGAAUUAAUUUUGCUGGGUUUAAUGAUAUUAUCAGCUAGCUGCAUUUGACUUGGUGUAAAUCACGUACUUGGUCUGCUUAAGUUCUUUAUGGUAUCUACAAAAAAAAAAAAAAAAAAAAGUUCUUUAUGGUAAUUUAUAAAGUAAGAAUUUUGAUUCUGUUUUCUGGCGUUUUCCUUUGUUUCUCCAGCUAAUAGAUGUAGGGGUUUCCACACUGGCCAUUGAUUUGUGUUUUUAGUGGGUAGUUGCCAAAACCUUGGAUUUGGAACUCAGUGGUAUUUGUUUCAACAAUUGAACAUAUUUUUCAUCUCUUGGUAGCAUUUCUUUUUCUACUUUGUUGGUUAAGCCAACCCCAUUGUAGUGAGUAGAAGGAGAUUUACAGUUUCAUAUUGUGUCUUCUGGAUAUUGUUAUCAAAUUAACAAAUUUCCUUAUCUCUCGAUCUCUGCUUUUGCUUACCUAAAUUGCAUUUGCUUCAAGUUGGAAUGAAUGAGGUAUUUUGAGGCUAUAUAAUUAUGUGAUUGUUGUGCUUCAUUCUAAUUACUGUUUAUUUUAUUUUUUUAGUAUGAAUCAUAGUUAAGCAGUCGUCCAAUUGCUUCAGGUAUGAUAUAUGAAAAUUAAUAAGUUUUUCAUAUCUACAUGUCUUAUUGAAACUUUGGAAUUUUAUCUCAACAGAUUCAAUUGUCUGUCACAUCUCUGACUUAUUCACUGAAGCAAAGAAGCAAAGAUAAUUUUCAGGAUUCUCUUCCAACGAUCUAUCCAUUGCUAGGUAUGGGUAUAUGCCCGCAUUCACCUACCUCUACAUUACUUUCUUUGUUUGCUAAUCAUACUUUUUUACCUAAUAAAGUAACAAGCAGCUCAAAAAAGAACAAUGAAAACAUUGAACAGAGAAAAUCAUUUUGCUUGCUCCUUUGUAUUUGAUUAGUAUUAUACCAACCAAAACAAUGAAGACUACAACCUGGACAUGCUCAAGAUUGAACUUUGCAAUAUAUGUAUUAUAUUUUUUAAUUAAUUAAUCAUUUGUAUUAAUAACCAAUCUUUUGUAUUAAUAAUCGAUGUACCCUAAUUUGAUUUAUAUAUAAGAAGUUCAUUUUCAAUGUA